rnacentral:tRNA from 1 species
AUUUAAAAAAGGGAUAAAAACUGAUUCGUAAUCAGUAGGUCGGGUGUUCGAUUCACCU